UCGAAGUCCUUUUUGCCCCAGCCGGUAGGUCUCUAGAUGUUACAGAGAACCACGAACAACCCAAACUACUAAUCUUCGAUACCGCUUUAUACUCACGAUCUUGUAUCCACUGAUUGUCUUGUUAGAUUAAUCCAAUAAAUUUCAUUCACUCCGCAUACUCAAUCCUAUAGACACCCUUUUAAUUCUUCAUCACAGACGUAACUUGAUUUCACAAAACAG
rnacentral:lncRNA from 1 species